rnacentral:rRNA from 1 species
GUGGGAUGACGUCAAGUCCUCAUGGCCCUUAUGGUAGGGCUUCACACGUCAUACAAUGGUCGGUACAGAGGGUUGCCAAGCCGCGAGGCGGAGCCAAUCCCACAAAGCCGAUCGUAGUCCGGAUUGUUCUCUGCAACUCGAGAGCAUGAAGUCGGAAUCGCUAGUAAUCGCAGGUCAGCAUACUGCGGUGAAUACGUUCCCGGGUCUU